rnacentral:rRNA from 1 species
GCGUCUGAUCCUGCUCAAUUGAACGCUGGCGGGAUGCUUUGGUGGCAAGUCAGAACGGCAGCAUCGACUUCGGGGUCUGGUGGCGAGUGGCAGUUGGUGAAAGGCAAUGUAUCGGAACGUGCCUAGUGAAGUAGUGAUAACUACGCGAAAGUACACGACGCGGCUAGUCAUUCUUUCGCUGGGGGAGCGGGACCGGGCCCUCCUCUGCACUAGGAGCGGCCGAUAUCGGAUUAGCUGUUGUGGGGUAAUCCACCAAGGCGACGAUCCGUAGCUGGUUUGAGAGUGAUUUAAUGCUUUCACACUGGGACUGAGGACAUUUACCCAGACUCACGGGAGGCAGCAGUGGGGGAAUUUGACAAUGGGGAAACCUCGAUCCGUGCCAUCCGUGCGAUGAAGGCCUUCGCUACAAAGGCACUUUUACAGGAAAGAAAGGCACGGGACGAUAGCGACCCUGCAACUCGACGGUACCUGCAGAAUAGCCACCGGCGACCAUGUUGUAGCAGCCGCGGUAAUACGUAGGGCAAGCGUUAAUCGAAUUACUGGCGUAAAAGCGUGUCUGAAAGAAAGAUGAAAUCCCAGAGCUUAACUUUGGAACCGCAUUUUAACUUACUGAGCUAUAAAUAGAGGGGAGAGGUGGAAUCAUGCAGCAAGUGAAAUGCGUAGAUAUGCGGAGGAACACCGAUGAAGGCAGCCUCCAAGAUACAAACACUGACGUCGAAAGUGCUCUGAAAGCGUGGUGAAACAGGAUUAGAUACCCUGGUAGUCCACGCCCUAAACGAUGUCAACCAGCUGUUAGCCUUCGGCUCCGGUAGCGCAGCUAACGCGUGAAGUUGAAUCGUCUGCAGCACACGACGCAAGAUUGUGCGCAAAACUCACAGUGAAUUGAUGACGGGGACCCGCACAGCGGUGGAUGAUGUGGAUUAAUUCGAUGCAACGCGAAAACCUUACCUACCCUUUUGACAGUUCUGGAAUCCCGAAGAGAUUUGGGAGUGCUCGUGAACCGGAACACAGGUGCUGCAUGUAUGCCGUCAGCUCGUGUCGCAGAUGCGUUGGGCGGUUAAGUCCCGCAACGAGCGCAACCUUCUGUCAUUAGUUGCUACGAAAGGGUACCUCUAAUGACUGCCGGUGACAAACCGGAGGAAGGUGGGGAUGACGUCGGAAACCGCUGGCCUUCGGUGGGUAGGGUCACAUCACGUCAUACAAUGGUCGUGGACAGAGGGUCGCCAACCUGGGCGAGGGGGGAGCUGGCGUUAAUCCCAGAAACCUGAUCGAAUGUCCGGGUCGGCAGUCUGCAACUCGACUUUCCGUGAAGCCGACCGCCAGGAAUCGCGGAUCGGCAUGUCGCGGUGAAUACGUUCAGGUCUGUACAUCGCCGCCACCAUGUGGUGAGUGGGUCGGCCAGGCGCAGUUAGCCUAACCGUAGCGGAGGCGGCGAUUACCACGGUGAGAUUCAUGACUGGGGUAGUCGUAACAGGUAG